CCAUCGGUAAUUCAGUGGUAGAAUGCUCGCCUGCCACGCGGGCGACCCGGGUUCGAUUCCUGGCCGAUGCA
rnacentral:tRNA from 1 species